AUAGAAAUCCUGUCCGUGUGUUUGAAAACAUUAGGCGAUAAAAUCGAAAACAUUGAAUGUUUUCGAUUUUGAAAACAAUGUUUUCGAUAAUGUCUACAAUGUCGACGAAAUCGGUGAUUUUGUUGCCUACAUUUCGGCGCCCGCCGUUUUCUGCUUUACAUAAUAUCGACCACCACGGUAAACAGUGAUGACGUUUCGGGACUUUGUUUAUUUUAGCAAACAGAUCAAAACAAACUUUUUGGCCACUUAGCCGCGUCGCGCCGGGUUCCCGGGCCGUUUUUCUAUUACCGUGACCAGGUAUCUCCAACGUCGUCAACGUUUCCGCAGUUUUGAUUACGGUGUUCGUUUUUGUAUUGGUGAAUUCGGAAGACGCGACCGGUUCCUCGUCCACGUUUUCGGAUACGGAAAAGUCCCGGUGCGGUGAGCUUUUUCGGCAAUUGAAAUUAUUAGGCUGUGAAAUGUUGUGCUUUUGUCAAUGUUUUACUUUUGAACGCAGUUUUGGAUGGAUUAGUUUGGUGAGUUUCAGCCGGAACAGCCCGGAUCAGCCAAGGGUUGCUGGACGAGAUUUGUUUGGCUAUAUCUAGCUUGGUGCAUGCAGCUCGUGCCAUUCCAUGUGGUCUAAUUCGAUGACCAUGAUCCGUUGCGGUUGUCCAGAGACCGCUGCCAUGUUGUUGGUUGAUUGCGGCGACGUCGUCGGCGAAUCACCUUGGCCGGAUGUGCAGCUGCGCACCGACGCGAUCACGCUGACCUCGCCCGAUGAGUACGUCGCAUCUGAUUUGCUCCAAGUGCUGAUCUGAAAGGGCAGCGGCUCUUUGAAAGUCUGAAAUGCCAGCUGAUGUUUGGAUGCCAGCUCAUCAUGACUACAAAACACCUGCUUACACUGCGCGAAUACUUAAGGGCUCCGCUCCGUCGGUCCAGAAUGUCAUAGUGAUUCUGUCCUCGGCAAAGGAGAUCGUCAACCCGACUACGCAGCGACAAGCCACGUUCCGGCAUCAAUUUGGAUGUUAGACCGUCCGCCUGUGCUGUGCUGGUCCAGCGUGGACCCAAAACUGACGGAAUUUACCACUAGUCUCUAAGAUGUCAAUCCACAUUUUACCUAAAUCGAGUGUACACCUUUGUGUGCAAGUUAAUUUUUGAUUAUAAAACGAAAAUAAAAGAAAUUUUAUGCAAAUCAGUAGUUUUCUGAUAUGAUUAACUAUUCCGGAACAGUUUUGAACUAUAACGGCCAAUUUGAAAGCAAAAUAUCGACGCUAUAUCGAUACUUUGCAAAUUGCAUACAUCUAGGCGCAUUCAAACCGUGAAAUUGAUGUUGACGGAAUCGACAACAUUUUUUAUCGAUUUCGUUGCAAUUGUUACCGGACGACUGGUCGAAAACAUUCCGAAACGAAUUUUAGAACGAAUCGAGAACAAUGUUGUCGAUUUCACGGACAGGAUUUCUA